GCAACUCGACUACAUGAAGCUGGAAUCGCUAGUAAUCGCAGAUCAGAAUGCUGCGGUGAAUACGUUCCCGGGUCUUGUACACACCGCCCGUCACACCAUGGGAGUCGGAAAUGCCCGAAGCCGGUGACCAAACCAAUAAGGAAGGAGCCGUCGAAGGCAGGUCUGAUAACUGGGGUGAAGUCGUAACAAGGUAUC
rnacentral:rRNA from 1 species